rnacentral:rRNA from 1 species
CACGCCGUAAACGAUGGAUACUAGCUGUUCGGAGCAAUCUGAGUGGCUAAGCGAAAGUGAUAAGUAUCCCACCUGGGGAGUACGCACGCAAGUGUGAAACUCAAAGGAAUUGACGGGGGCCCGCACAAGCGGUGGAGCAUGUGGUUUAAUUCGAUGAUACGCGAGGAACCUUACCAGGGCUUAAAUGUAGAUUGACAGGUCUGGAAACAGACUUUUCUUCGGACAAUUUACAAGGUGC